ACCCCGGGUCAACUCAGGCAGAAGCUGAUAGGCGGUUCUGUGGUUUUAUUUAGCUUCAUGAAAGAUGCCCGGAUCAGUCCCAGGUUCUAGACCAACUCUGAUAACGUCUUUUCAGGAAAACUUGCACAAAUCACAAUUAAACGGGAUCCAUGGUUACAAGGUUGUUCUCGCCCACCGCACUCCUCUCCCCGUAUCUAGUCUCCUACGGAAAAGGCCUCCAUCCAUUCGUAAAGGCCUUACUCACCUUGCCCUCAGCCUAUGUGCACGAAAUUCAAUGUGAGCUGGUUAUCCAGGAGAGACGAAUCCAGGCUACCAUGAUGGUCCAGGAGGGAACGCCAACACCCUCCUUACCCAGCCUCUCUCCUCAAGAGAUCAUGAGCUGAAGGGCAUAUCAUCGGACAAACCUCCAGCUGCUUCUGCCCUUAAAUAAGGGGACAGAGGAAGUUGUUUCUAUAUUUAAGAAGAGAGAACUAUUUUCAUUCCAGAGCUAUAAGAGUUAUGAGCAGAUGAAGCUAUGACUCUGGCGGCUGGACCAUUUUGGGAAACAAGAUGCAAGCAAGGGAGUAAUAUACAAAGUGUGGGUAUAUUUGACAGGUUUGAGGCAAGCAGAAAGGAGGGCUUGGGUAUUCUAUAAAAAACCUAAUAUCUGAAAUUCAAACUUCUUCUGAUAAGGCCACAAUGAAGAGAUUUCCAGCAGGAAGCUGGCACCCAAAUUGCCACAGGCUUGCAAGGUGACGUGCCCAGGUGAGGAGGCAGGGGAGGCAGGACAGUGCCUCUCACAGGUCCAUGUCUGGGCCUCCUGAGGAUGUCUUCAGUGGCACGGAGUCAAAUCCAUCAGGAGUCCUCUGAAAGAGAGAUGGUGACAGGAGCUGGCUGCUGCACGGGGGCAAGUUUGGGAAACAAAGGAGAGAAAUGGAAAAUAGGUGACAGAAGGAACCCUUACGGAAUUCCUGCUUCCAGUAGCUUUGUGGAAACAGACAUAAGAUACCCUCUAUUCUUCUUGGUCCUUUCAGUCAGUCAGAAGAUAAGAAAAAUCUUUAAGA